rnacentral:rRNA from 1 species
AUUGAACGCUGGCGGCAGGCCUAACACAUGCAAGUCGAGCGGAUGAAGGGUGCUUGCUCCUGGAUUCAGCGGCGGACGGGUGAGUAAUGCCUAGGAAUCUGCCUGGUUGUGGUGGAUAACGUCCGGAAACGGGCGCUAAUACCGCAUACGUCCAGAGGGAGAAAGGGGGGGAUCUUCGGACCUCACGCUAUCAGAUGAGCCUAGGUCGGAUUAGCUAGUUGGUGGGGUAAAGGCCUACCAAGGCGACGAUCCGUAACUGGUCUGAGAGGAUGAUCAGUCACACUGGAACUGAGACACGGUCCAGACUCCUACGGGAGGCAGCAGUGGGGAAUAUUGGACAAUGGGCGCAAGCCUGAUCCAGCCAUGCCGCGUGUGUGAAGAAGGUCUUCGGAUUGUAAAGCACUUUAAGUUGGGAGGAAGGGCAGUAAGUUAAUACCUUGCUGUUUUGACGUUACCAACAGAAUAAGCACCGGCUAACUUCGUG